AAGUAGUUUAUUUAGGCAGAAAUUUUGUAGAAGUCUGAGAAAAUUAUUCAAUCAUUUUCAAGUGUUAAGCAAAAAAGAAAUGGGCAGGAAAGGAUAUGCUAUCUCAGCAAAGGGGAGAGGAAUGUAACAAACUAAUGACUUGUUUUACAUAGACUUCACCCCACAUUUGUGCAGAAGUGGUAGGAAGCAAAGCUUCAUGAAGGCAUUGAAAGGUUAGCAGCCUGGAGUGAGAGGAAUCAGCCAUCUCAUUCCCGUGUACUGACUGCUGGGGCUUUGAGCAAGGCAAUCUGCCCAUGGGCUGAUAUUCAUGGCAGAAGGGGCCAUGUGGCCUAGCAUCAGUACUGCCUGCAUGUACUGCCUGACAAAAUGUCUCAUGUGACACUUUUGUCACCAGGGCUACUGAGCUGGAUUAGAUCAGUGCAGAUGUAAGUUCCACGGGUUGUCAUAGCAACGAGAAACUAGGCAGGUGGAAAAUGGCUCCCACCUAUCUUCCCCAGACUUCAUGGGGCUGUGUGGGAUGGAGUUGGGGGCUCAAGGCCUUUGAGGCCUGGCAGCAAAGUUCUUUGAGACAGCCUGUUCUCCCACCAAAGCCAGUGAGAACUACCAAGGACUGUUUUUCCUGGAGCCAAGUGACGUAAUGCUCAGCUGCACUUCCUAGCUAACAGAAUAGGGAAAGGAUGUGACUAUGAAGCAGAGAAGUGAAGAGGAUUUAACACAAACACUGAACUAUUCCAUACCUCUAAACAUGUACCCCAUACUUUUAAAAGAUGUUAUACAAUUCACAUGGAUAUAAUCCAUCCUUCCUUAAUCUGAACCCUAGCUGACUUUGAGAUGGAGAUGAAGAGGAGGGGAAAAGACAGUGUUUAAAAGGAAGAAAAUGUGUUUAUCUCUCACAUAAGAAACAUCUCCUCAUAUAACAACAAGGAGAAUAAUAUUACCUUUGUGCUCUACUAAAUAAUCAGAGCAACAAUUGCAGACACAAUUGGACUUUCAAGCAAGAAUGAGAUGAGAAUGCCAAAUCUACCACAGCAGCUCAACAGCACCAGCACCUGGGGUACCUGCUAUGACUUUGGUUCUGAGAAAUCAACGCUCAGCACUCCUGAUCUCCUCUGCUCAGAGACAGCCAUUUCUGUCAUGACAGAAUGGCCCUGCUUCUGAUUCGCUAUCAGCUUUUAUAAAGGUUUGCAACUUGUUGGUCCUUCUACUGCAUGGGCCUGAAGUCUCAUCCUGUAGUCCUACUGGAGAACACGGCCUGGCAAGAGAGGUCUUCUGUUUCUGUGCUUUCUGGAAGGAAAUCUUCCUAUGCUACUUCUUCUCAACAGCACAGAGGCUUUGAAGGUAUUUCCCAGAAGGAGCAACGUAGAGAGAAAAAAAAAGAUCAGGCUUCUUCUUGACCCCAUAUGGGCCAAUAUGCCCAGACACAUAAUCAGUCUCCAUUUCUCUGUUGUCAGUUCCUGUUGCUAGUGAUGCUUUCAUUGCAAUUCAGAAUUUUGCUUCUCAAGCACAAAUGCCUCACAGCCUCACAGUGGCCUUAUGAACUACAGUAAACUCUGACCUUUUGAAUAUAAAACAGCUUUCUGAAGCAGGAAAGACUCUGAAGCCUCCAUCUGUGGCAAAGCAACACUCCAACCCACAAUGGGAACAAAGGACAUGAUAUUUCCUCUGUGUAUGUUCAUGGCAGCAAGAAGGGCAGGUGGACUAUCAACCUCUGCUUCUCCUCGGGAGGUUCAGUGUGUGGAAGGAGGCAUUUUCUGCCACGUUUGAGUCUGUCAGGUAAGAAAUAGGUGAUGACCUUAAAUUUCUGAAAGAUCCUCUCAGCACCUGUUACCCCUUGGAAACAACCUCACCACCCACUCCUUUAAGAGAAAAUUAAAUUUUUUUUUUGGAUCUGGAUGAUUGCUUGACUCUU